AACGAACGCUGGCGGCCGGCUUAACACAUGCAAGUCGAGCGCCCCGCACGGGGAGCGGCAGACGGGUGAGUAACGCGUGGGAAUCUACCCAUCUCUACCUCAUAACGCAUGGAAACGUGUGCUAAUACCGUAUACGUCCUUCCGGGAAAAGGUUUAUCGGCGUGGGAUGAGCCAGCGUGGGAUGCGCUAGUUGGUGGGGUAAGGGUCUAGGAAGGCGACGAUCCAUAGCUGGUCUGGGAGGAUGAUCAGCCACACUGGGACUGAGACACGGCCCAGACUCGUACGGGAGGCAGCAGUGGGGAAUAUGGGACAAUGGGCGCAAGCGUGAUCCAGCCAUGCCGCGUGAGUGAUGAAGGCCCUAGGGUUGUAAAGCUCUUUCACCGGUGAAGAUAAUGACGGUAACCGAAGAAGAAGCCCCGGCUAACUUCGUGCCAGCCGCCGCGGUAAAAC
rnacentral:rRNA from 1 species